rnacentral:rRNA from 1 species
AUACGGAGGAUGCAAGCGUUAUCCGGAUUUAUUGGGUUUAAAGGGUGCGUAGGCGGUUUGCUAAGCGGGAGGUGAAAUGCCGGCGCUCAACGUCGGAAGUGCCUCCCGAACUGGUGGACUGGAAUGACUCUGCCGUGGGAGGAAUGUGUAGUGUAGCGGUGAAAUGCUUAGAGAUUACACAGAACACCGAUUGCGAAGGCAUCUCACGAAGGGUUGAUUGACGCUGAGGCACGAAAGCGUGGGGAUCAAACAGGAUUAGAUACCCUGGUAGUCCACGCAGUAAACGAUGAUGGCUAACCGCUGGUUUUUUCGGAUCAGUGGCCAAGCGAAAGCGAUAAGCCAUCCACCUGGGGAGUACGACCGCAAGGUUGAAACUCAAAUGAAUCGACGGGG